rnacentral:lncRNA from 1 species
UGUGCUGCACAUGACCCCGGCUGAGCUGGGAACAUGCGGAUGCAGAGAGAGAUGGGGUCUCUCACUGCGUUGCCCAGGCUGCUCUGGAACUCCUGGCCUCAAGUGCUGGGAUUCCAGGCGUGAACCACCACGCCCGGCUGAGAUGUUCCUUUUCCUUGGAACUUGAUCAACACAAAAUCCUGAGGCCUGGUGUGGGUGUGUUCCUCUGGGGCAGAUUCUCAACUGGGGACACUUCUGCCCCCAAGGACACAUUUCAACAUCCUGAGACAUUUCCGGGUGUCAUCACAGUGUGCACGCACGUGUAUGUACCUGCACACGCUACUGGCACCUCGCGGAUAGAGCCCAGGGACGCUGCUCACAUCCUGCACGGAGACUGACCCGCCCAGCGUCCUAGGGCAGGCUCCAGGCAGGGUCUGCAUGUGCCUCUGCCAGCCACCUAGACCCUGCCAGCCGGGGCCUUUAAAUUCUCCCCUCGUGGUCUCCAGGGCCACUCACUAGCCUGAUUUCAAGCUGUAAACUGGGAGGACCUAUUUCUUUUCACCUUGCACGGAACACCAAGGCUGAAAGGCAGUUUUUCCGGAGGUGCCAGCCUGUCUCACAUUUCCGCUUCAGCUGCGGGGUCCAGCUCUAUGUGGGCGGUCUCCUGAUGAAGUCACCCCGGGACAGACACUGUUCUGUCUCCUGCUUCCAGUCCAGUAAAGAUGCCAGGAUCCCCCAGGGCAUGGCAGGCACCCUCAAAGGCAGACGUGGGGAGGCCCUGGUGGGCAGACCCCAGCCUGCUGACGGGGGGCUUCUCCCUGGCUGCCACUGGCCCACCCACUGCGCUGCAGUCCACCUGGUGCUGGGGCUGUGGGGCACAGGCCCUCAGGACCUGCACCCUUUCCUGCCCAGGAGGUCCAGGCCUGACAUCCUUAUGUCCCCUGGAAAGCCCACUCCCAUCUUCAGGGUAGGAGGGCAGCUGCAUGCUGGGCUGACUUGGGCCUGUCCUGGGACACCCCUGCAGACCAGGUGCAGCAGGGAAUGUGGCUCUGUGGGGUUGCUGUGGGCAGGUUAGCAUGGAGCUGGGCUCCGGAAGGGAGUUGCCACGCUGCCUGCCAGGGCCCCUCCUCUGAGACAGGUGCCUUGUGGGACAGUGUACCAAAGUGCCCUGGACACGAGGGGGCCCUGCGCCCCCCACGCACUGACCCCGCAUCGGAGGCCCUGCGCCCCACACACACUGACCCCGCAU